rnacentral:rRNA from 1 species
UACGUAGGUGGCAAGCGUUGUCCGGAUUUAUUGGGUUUAAAGGGCGCGUAUGCGGUCUUCUAAGUCAGUUGUGAAAUACUUCAGCUUAACUGGAGAGGUGCAAUUGAUACUGGAAGACUUGAGUACUGAUGAGGUAGGCGGAAUGGACGGUGUAGCGGUGAAAUGCUUAGAUAUCGUCCAGAACACCGAUAGCGAAGGCAGCUUACUAAGGAGUAACUGACGCUGAGGCACGAAAGUGUGGGGAUCAAACAGG